rnacentral:rRNA from 1 species
UCGUAACAAGGUUUCACUGUAGUCAUAUGCUUGUCUCAAGUCGUAACAAGGUUUCACUGGGAUACCUGGGGUGAUUCUAGAGCUAAUACAUGCUGAAAACCUCGACUUCGGAAGGGGUGUAUUUAUUAGAUAAAAAACCAAUGCCCUUCGGGGCUCCUUGGUGAAUCAUAAUAACUUAACGAAUCGCAUGGCCUUGCGCCGGCGAUGGUUCAUUCAAAUUUCUGCCCUAUCAACUUUCGAUGGUAGGAUAGUGGCCUACCAUGGUGGCAACGGGUAACGGGGAAUUAGGGUUCGAUUCCGGAGAGGGAGCCUGAGAAACGGCUACCACAUCCAAGGAAGGCAGCAGGCGCGCAAAUUACCCAAUCCCGACACGGGGAGGUAGUGACAAUAAAUACUGAUACGGGGCUCUUUUGGGUCUCGUAAUUGGAAUGAGUACAAUCUAAAUCCCUUAACGAGGAACAAUUGGAGGGCAAGUCUGGUGCCAGCAGCCGCGGUAAUUCCAGCUCCAAUAGCGUAUAUUAAAGUUGUUGCAGUUAAAAAGCUCGUAGUUGAACCUUGGGUCUGGCUGGCCGGUCCGCCUCACCGCGAGUACUGGUCCGGCUGGACCUUUCCUUCUGGGGAAUCUCAUGGCCUUCACUGGCUGUGGGGGGAACCAGGACUUUUACUGUGAAAAAAUUAGAGUGUUCAAAGCAGGCCUUUGCUCGAAUACAUUAGCAUGGAAUAAUAGAAUAGGACGUGCGGUUCUAUUUUGUUGGUUUCUAGGACCGCCGUAAUGAUUAAUAGGGAUAGUCGGGGGCGUC